AACAAUGAACCAAAAUCAAUGCAUAAAACGAAUGAACACGUCUUUCUAGGGUAGUCAAAUUUCCAAUUAAUACCUCGAAAUGCAAAAUGGGUAGUCAAGAAAUCAUCAAAGAAACCUUCUUCAUCUCCCAUGGAACCCCUAGAAUGACAAUUGAAGCGUCGAAACCAGCAAGGAAAUUUCUAGAAAGUUGGAGGGAUAAAAUCUAUUUCAAGAAACCCAAAGCAAUUCUUGUCAUUUCUGCUCACUGGGAAACUGAUUUCCCUUCUGUUAAUGCUGUGGAUAUCAAUGAUACCAUCUAUGAUUUCUAUGGCUUCCCUGCUCCCAUGUACCAGUUCAAAUACCCAGCUCCUGGAUCUCCGGAUUUGGCACAAAGAGUACAAGAACUUCUUACAGCCUCAGGAUUCAAAAGUGUAAAUGUUGACAAGAAACGAGGACUUGAUCAUGGUGCAUGGGUGCCUUUGAUGCUCAUGUAUCCUAAUGCUGACAUUCCUGUGUGUCAGCUCUCAGUGCAAUCACACUUGGAUGGCAUGUACCAUUAUAAGCUGGGACGAGCCUUGGCUCCUCUGAAGGAGGAAGGUGUCCUCAUUAUUGGUUCUGGAAGUGCAACACACCCUUCAAAUAACACUCCCCAUUAUUAUGAUGGUGUCGCUCCAUGGGCUGCAGAUUUUGAUCAUUGGCUUGAAACUGCCCUGACAAAUGGAAGUUAUGAAGAGGUGAAUAAAUGUGAAAGUAAAGCACCCAAUUGGAAGUUGGCACAUCCAUGGCCAGAACACUUCUAUCCAUUACAUGUGGCAAUGGGAGCCGCUGGCGAAAAUUGGAAAGCCGAGCUGAUUCAUAACAGCUGGGAUCAUGGUACCAUGUCUUAUGGAUCCUACAAAUUUGUUUCAAGCUGAGUUUAACCCUGGAGAAUUUCUUUAAAGAUGAAGCAAAACAAUAUUUAAAAAGUGGACGUUGAAAUGAAUGGAAGUUUGAAACGCCAACCAGAGGAAGGGGUAGCUGAAGUAUCCUGCACCAGGAGCUCCAGAAUUGGCAAAGCGAGUGCAGGAGCUUCUAACCACAUCUGGAUUUAGGCAUGUAAAAGUAGACAAGAAACGAGGGCUAGAUCACGGUGCAUGGAUACCA